CCGAGUGGAUAAUACCAACUGUCAAUCAUAUAUACUGCACUUAAUUAUCGAUUUUCCUCUAAAUCAGGGUCCUCAAACUCAAAUGACCGGGGGGGGGGCCACUGAGCAUCUAGUGUGGUCAGUCGGGAGCCACUCAAGUGCGUAAUUGCUUUAAAAUAACAAUUGUUGUGGUUUUUGUCGCCUAUAAAUAAGCCUCUUACAUGUACUUGCUUUACAGAAGGAGCCUGUGUUUCUUUUAAGUGCUUCCUUAAAGUCAUACUACACUGAACAAAAAAAUUAAAUUAAAAUUAAAACAAUAUUUUAUAAAAAUUUGAACAAUAUUAGAUCUUUGAGUUCAGCUCAUGACAAAUGGGAGUGUUGCAUUUAUAUUUUUGUUCAGUGUAUAUUUAAUUGUUUAGAGGACUGAAGUAUGUAUCAGGCCUCUCCAGCUCUGGUUUUGGAUUUAAUUGCCCAAACUUAAACUGCUACUUUUGGGGGGCAACUUUGCAUUAUUGUGUAACAUCAGGGUUUCUCACUCCUGAUCCUGGGGAGCCACUGAUGUUACCCUGCUCAUACAUACCUGAUUCAAAUAGUCAGCUCGUCAGUAAGCACUGUUCAAGCCUGAUAACGACCCAUUUUUUUGAAUCAAGUGUGUUUUAAAACACUGCAACACUUUUCACCCUUUUUUUUGCCACUUGGUCAAAUGAAGAAUACAUUUAAAAUCAUUAUGAUGCUGCUGUGUUUGUUUAAUUUGAACAAAUUUAACCGGCUUUUUCUAAUCAAUUUUAUUUUUUUCACACCUUUUACUCAUAAAACGAGGAACACAGUAAAGAGCAGUGUUUUUUAAUCCCAACUUCCUCUGUUGUUGUGGGAAUGAGACGUGUAUCUCAGAGCCACUGUCUGAUGAUGAAAUAACACAUUUAUCUCUGGAAAUUAGGAAUUUGAAUUUGUGUGAGUCGACUUGAAGCGGAACCUUUGCCGGUGAUUGGCUGGACCGUUACACGUGGUUGCUGCUAGCAGGAAGAAUACAAUGCGGUUACGCCCACAGACCGGGGGUUCACGUGGAUCUUUGGUGUUAACUACACUUGUGUGUUGUGACUCGCGACGAAGGGGUUAAAAAUGCCACCAUGGUCGACAUUGUGGCUCCACUUAAACAAAAUUAAUACUAAUAAAGUGCGCGGUGCAAUAUUUGUAAAAUACAUAUCGCCACAAAGGCCAACAACACAACGAAUUUAAGGACGGCGCUGUGUCAGGGGUUUCAACGGUGACCUCUGACCCUGAUGUGAGGAGGACAACUUCACCAGUCAAAGUGAAUCCGUUCACACUGGCAACACUGAUGCUAUUGUUGCAUUGGGGUCUGUACGGUUCUUGGUGGGCUACUGAACAGAAUUACUCUCUGGGAUUAAUAAAAUUGAUCAAAUCAAAAUAAGUAAAGAAUAACAAGACGAGUGCUACAGUCACAAAGUUUACUGUGAAAGGUUUGCUGCUCCAUGGUGGAGGUGGAGCUGCUCCUGCACAAAGAAACACUGAUUUAAAAGCCUUUGUGUACUUUCUGUGACUUGGUACAUUCCACUCCUCCCCUCUGUGUCGAGCUAUGUGGAAUGUUCCACUUCCCUUGUCGAAGCUUCUUCCACGCCGAGACAGGAAGAGGACGAGGAGCAGCGGGAAUAAACACAUGCAGGUGCAGGAGGACCUGGCUGACCUGGAGGACGAGGACGAGGAGGAGGACGAGGACGAGGAGCAGCGCGGACAAAUGUGUGGUAACUGAUGCUUAAAAAUGAUCCACACAUUUAUUAGAUGUUCUGUUGAUGCUCUGUUCACACCUGCUGUUAACAUCUGAUCCGAGUCAUCCGAUCACAGUUGUUCAGAUUACACCUGCUACUGCUAUUGCUAAUAUCACGUCAAAUGAUGAUUCUCAAAUGUCUUUUUUUAUCCACCAACCAAAAAUUAUUCAGUUUUAAUUCCUUCUUUGUUACAAGGAACAAUGAAACCGGAAAAUGUUCAACAUUUUUAAUAAAAAACAAACAAUUAAUCCAUUAUUAAAGUAUUUGACAAUUCAUUUAGUAAUCAUUUAAUAAUGCUGUAAUCGUUGCAUCCCUACUUUAUAUAUAUUUUUUUUUUAAAUCAUCAGAGACAUCAUAUGAUUUAUUGCGAUACUUGCAAAAUCAUACAUUGUGAUGCACUGACACAACAGUGCCAGUGAAAGUGACCACUUGGCACCAUCUAGUGGACUGAAAGGUUCAUUUAUUUUGUUUAUUUGUAAUGCUAAUCCACAAAAAAGUUUGACGUUUAUUUAUAACAUCAGUUCAAAACAUUGUUAUGGAACAAACCAUGACUCUUUCACCUGUCAUUUCAUCACCUCACACGGACGAUGUUAACAGCACUUGUCAACAGAGCCUCUGUUUAAUGUGUGCACAUCAUUUUUACAUUGUUAACAGGUGAAAACUGGGGACCACUCAAAGUCACAAAAUUCUAUCAAUAAAUACACCAUUCAGUAAUGACUACAAUGUGCCAUUCAUUCAUUCAUUGAUUCAAAUUGGAAGUAAAUACAUACACGUCUUAUUAAAUGUGACAUUCAUUCAUUCAUUCAAAUACCAAUUCAUUUGAUGUAAAAAACAACAUAUAGAAUGACUUGACUGUUGAAUGAAUGAUUUCAUGGUCCUGUGUUGCAGUGCAUCACAGGACUGAUGCUGAUGGGUGACUUUGACACGUUAAAUCAAUUCAUGAUGCACUGCAACACAGGACCAUGACAUCAUUCAUUCAAAAGUCAAGUCAUUAGAUAUGUUUUGUGGGGUUUUUUUUAACCUGCAAUUGGUAUUUGAAUGAAUGACUGUCACAUUUAAUAAGACGUGUAUGUAUUUCAUUCCAAUUUGAAUCAAUGAAUAAAUGUCACAUUGUAGUCCAUAUUGAACGGUGUAUUUAUUUAUUGAGUGAAUUUUGUAACUUUGAGCGCUCCCUAGUUUUCACCUGUUAACAAUGUAAAAAUGAUGUGCACACAUUAAUCCCACAGAAGUCUAAUUGAUGUGCUGAUCAUUUUUAAGCAUCAGUUGCUGGACACCGGUACCCCGACUGUGUGGUCAACAGUCCAGAGAGUGGACCCCUGUCAAAUUUUUUUGUGUUUUUAUGGCUUUUUUGGGGAAUUUCGUUGGCCAAAAAUGUGAAAUAAAAUGGUAUAACCCCCUGUUGUUAUCAGUGUGGGGAGCCGGGGGACCACAGCCCAGCCCGGCCCCAGUUAGACCCCGGCGCCGGGGCCAAGUGUUCGGAGCAUGCUGGAUUUGAACCAGCCACAGCCGGACUGGCACAACCUCCUCGCGGUUGCGAACCAACCCACCACGCCACAAACCCUUUGGAGGUUUGGGAUGGAGCUCCGGGCGUUUUUCACUCUUCACUUUGGCUGUGGAACCUUAAACGUUCAAGUAUAAAGGAAUUGAACUCUCAACGUCAAGACUGAAAGGCAGCUCUCUAACCAGUUGAGCUAACAGUCCACACUCUUCCUUAUGUUUUCUCAGACUUCUUUACUCUUUGCGUUGAAUAGCGUGCCUAAAAAUUCACUUCAUCCAAGUUUCGAACCCCUGACCUGAAGAACUCCAGUCUUUCUCUUAACCUUGUGAGCUAUUUGUCCUCACAUGGUGUGUGCUAACCUUUGGAAGUCUUUCAAUAAUAGAACCCAUGACUUCAAAAAAAACAUCAGACUGAUGAAAUAUUGAAGAACGUUUGUCCCUG